CUAACUCCGUGCCAGCAGCCGCGGUAAUACGGAGGAUGCAGGCGUUAUCCGGAUUUAUUAGGUUUAAAGGGUGUUCAGACUGUCUGGUAAGUCAGAGGUGAAAGUCGGUUGCUUAACGAUCGAAUUGCCUUUGAAACUGUCAGACUUGAGUAUGGAUGUGGUAGGCGGAAUGUGUAGUGUAGCGGUGAAAUGCAUAGAUAUUACACAGAACUCCAAUUGCGAAAGCAGCUUACCAAACCAGCACUGACGCUGAAGCACGAAAGCGUGGGUAGCGAACAGGAUUAGAUACCCUGGUAGUCCACGCAGUAAACGAUGCUCACUCGCUGUUGGCAAUACACCGUCAGCGGCUAAGGGAAACCGAUAAGUGAGCCACCUGGGGAGUACGAUCGCAAGAUUGAAACUCAAAGGAAUUGACGGGGGCCCGCACAAGCGGUGGAACAUGUGGUUUAAUUCGAUGAUACGCGAGGAACCUUACCUGGGCUUAAAUGUGAAGUGCAUUGUUUGGAAACAGACAUUUCCUUCGGGACUCUUUACAAGGUGCUGCAUGGUUGUCGUCAGCUCGUGCCGUGAGGUGUCGGGUUAAGUCCCAUAACGAGCGCAACCCCUAUUGUUAGUUACCAGCGCGUCAAGGCGGGGACUCUAACGAGACUGCCGGUGUAAACCGCGAGGAAGGUGGGGAUGACGUCAAAUCAGCACGGCCCUUAUGUCCAGGGCUACACACGUGUUACAAUGGUCGGUACAGAGGGCAGCUAGGCAGCGAUGUCAAGCGAAUCUCGAAAGCCGAUCCCAGUUCGGAUUGGAGUCUGCAACCCGACUCCAUGAAGGUGGAAUCGCUAGUAAUCGCGCAUCAGCCAUGGCGCGGUGAAUACGUUCCCGGGCCUUGUAUACACCGCCCGUCAAGCCAUGGAAGUCUGGGGUGCCUGAAGGCCGUAACCGCAAGGAGCGGUCUAGGGUAAACAGAUGACUGGGGCUAAGU
rnacentral:rRNA from 1 species